rnacentral:rRNA from 1 species
UAGUAAUCACAGGUCAGCAUACUGUGGUGAAUACGUUCCCGGGCCUUGUACACACUGCCCGUCACACCAUGAGAGUUGAGAAUACCCGAAGCCCAUGUCAAAGUGGUCGAAGGUAGGCUUGAUGAUUGGGGUGAAGUCGUAACAAGGUAAC